rnacentral:pre_miRNA from 1 species
UUCUGGCCCCUGUGAGAUAUGUUUGAUAUUCUUGGUUGUUUAUGUAAAUAUCACCCAGGAAUCAAACAUAUUAUUACAGUGACCAGUA